rnacentral:rRNA from 1 species
GUAACGGGGGGGGCGAAGCGUUGUUCGGAAUUACUGGGCGUAAAGGGCUUGUAGGUGGCCAACUAAGUCAGACGUGAAAUCCCUCGGCUUAACCGGGGACUGCGUCUGAUACUGGAUGGCUAGAGUGUGGGAGAGGGAUGCGGAAUUCCAGGUGUAGCGGUGAAAUGCGUAGAUAUCUGGAGGAACACCGGUGGCGAAGGCGGCAUCCUGGACCACGACUGACACUGAAAAGCGAAAGCCAGGGGAGCAAACGGG